UGGGGGGCUGCCUACCAUGCAGUCGAACGGCAGCGCGGGCUUCGGCCUGGCGGCGAGUGGCGGACGGGUGAGGAAUACAUAGGAAUCUGCCCAGUCGUGGGGGAUAACCCGGGGAAACCCGGACUAAUACCGCAUACGACGGUGACGUGAAAGCAGGGGACCUUCGGGCCUUGCGCGAUUGGAUGAGCCUAUGUCGGAUUAGCUAGUUGGCGGGGUAAAGGCCCACCAAGGCGACGAUCCGUAGCUGGUCUGAGAGGAUGAUCAGCCACACUGGGACUGAGACACGGCCCAGACUCCUACGGGAGGCAGCAGUGGGGAAUAUUGGACAAUGGGCGCAAGCCUGAUCCAGCAAUGCCGCGUGGGUGAAGAAGGCCUUCGGGUUGUAAAGCCCUUUUGUACGGGAAGAAAUCAUCCGGGUUAAUACCCUGGGUGGAUGACGGUACCGUAAGAAUAAGCACCGGCUAACUUCGUGCCAGCAGCCGCGGUAAUACGAAGGGUGCAAGCGUUAAUCGGAAUUACUGGGCGUAAAGCGUGCGUAGGUGGUUGUUUAAGUCUGUCGUGAAAGCCCUGGGCUCAACCUGGGAAUGGCGAUGGAUACUGGGCGACUGGAGUGCGGUAGAGGAUGGCGGAAUUCCCGGUGUAGCGGUGAAAUGCGUAGAGAUCGGGAGGAACAUCCGUGGCGAAGGCGGCCAUCUGGACCAGCACUGACACUGAGGCACGAAAGCGUGGGGAGCAAACAGGAUUAGAUACCCUGGUAGUCCACGCCCUAAACGAUGCGAACUGGAUGUUGGUCUCAACUUGGAGAUCAGUGUCGAAGCUAACGCGUUAAGUUCGCCGCCUGGGGAGUACGGUCGCAAGACUGAAACUCAAAGGAAUUGACGGGGGCCCGCACAAGCGGUGGAGUAUGUGGUUUAAUUCGAUGCAACGCGAGAACCUUACCUGGCCUUGACAUGUCCGGAAUCCUGCAGAGAUGCGGGAGUGCCUUCGGGAAUCGGAACACAGGUGCUGCAUGGCUGUCGUCAGCUCGUGUCGUGAGAUGUUGGGUUAAGUCCCGCACGAGCGCAACCCUUGUCCUUAGUUGCCAGCACGUAAUGGUGGGAACUCUAGGGAGACUGCCGUGACAACCGAGAAGGUGGGAUGACGUCAGUCAUCAUGUCCUUACGCAGGCUACACACGUACUACAUGGGUGGAAGAGGGCACCGAUCCGCGAGGGGGGCCAUUCCAAAACCCCACUCCAGUCCGGAAUUGCCA
rnacentral:rRNA from 1 species